rnacentral:lncRNA from 1 species
CAAUGCCAGUGAACUGGUGGCUGAAGAAGUGGAGCUGUUAGGUACAGUGGGUGUGCCUGGGGCACCGUGCGCGCUGCCGGCAGACGGGACUGCUUGGGGUUUGGUGUUUCUCACGUGAAUUGUGUUUUUCCUGACCCGUUUUCCUCACCACACCCCAGAAGGAGGAGAUAGCAGCAACGAAGAGGAAAAAGCAGAGUGUCAGGAAGCACUGGAGGAUGUGGAAGCCACGUCUGAGAGUAAUCGUGACGAGGGCGUCGCUGACCUUGACCAGGGCAGAGUAAACACACCUCCGGCACCAGAGGGUGACUCCGAAGAGGAUGAUGGAGAGUCUGAAGAUGAAGUGGAACAUCUGGAGUCAAAGAGCGAAGUGAAGGAGGAAGAGGUAAAUUACCCAGAUACAACAAUCGACCUGUCGCAUCUUCAGACUCAAAGAUCCCUGCAGAAAAUCAUCCCCAAAGAGGAAGAACCCAACUUGAGUGACAGCAAGUCCCAGGGGCGAAGGCAUCUGUCUGCCAAGGAGAGGAGGUGAGAGCCUCUGUGUGUUUGCAGCCGGUGGACGUCUUCUCCCCGUUCCCUCGCCAGGACCUGGGCGCUGGGUGUGUCUUGCACCUCCCAGUCUGGGCUGGUCCGUGUCGGUUUGUCCAUCCUGCAUUUCCAGUGUGGGUCCUGCCUGUGGGACAACGGCUGCUCCUGUCGUUUGGGAGUGCUGGAAAUGAACAGGUUUUUGUGUACUCAAGAGGUUUUACUGAGGAGGGUUAUUUCCAGUGUAUGUGCCUCGGGUUCCCCCAUGUUGGGGAAGCGGGGUGGUAACGCUGCCAGGAGAGCACAACAAGGGGCAGUGUGUGUCAAG